AAUCAACGCUGGCGGCGCGCUUAACACAUGCAAGUCGAACGAGAAAGAGGAGCGAUCCUUGAGUAAAGUGGCGUACUGGUGAGUAACACGUGGAUAUCUACCUCCUGGUGGGGAAUAACCUGGGAAACCGUGGGCUAAUACCGCAUAAGUUCGCGAGAAGAAAGGACGUAAGUUCGCCGGGAGGAGGAGUCCGCGGUCGAUUAGGUAGUUGGCGGG
rnacentral:rRNA from 1 species